ensembl:snRNA U6 U6 spliceosomal RNA
UUGCUUGCCUCAGCAGCACAUAUACCAAAAUUGCAACGAUACAGAGAAGAUUAGCAUGGCCCCUGAGCAAGGAUGACAGGCAAAUUCAUGAAGCGUUCCAAAAUAAA